CAAGUUAUUAAGGGUGCAGGGCGGAUGCCUUGGCACUAGGAGCCGAUGAAGGACGUGAUAAGCUGCGAUAAGCUUCGGGGAGUUGCACGUAAACUUUGAUCCGAAGAUUUCCGAAUGAGGAAACUCACUUAGAGUAAUGUCUAAGUAUCAUUAAGUGAAUACAUAGCUUAAUGAGGGGAACUCAGGGAACUGAAACAUCUAAGUACCUGAAGGAAGAGAAAGAAAUUCGAUUCCGUAAGUAGCGGCGAGCGAACGCGGAUUAGCCCAAACCAAUAAAGUUUUCUUUAUUGGGGUUGCGGACAUAUCAUAACGAAGAGGUAUCGUAAUUGAAGAGGUUUGGAAAGACCCACCACAGAAGGUAAUAGUCCUGUAUGUUAAACGAGAAGACUUCAGAUAUGAUCCAGAGUACCACGGGACACGUGAAACCCUGUGGGAAGCAGGAGGGACCACCCUCCAAGGCUAAAUACUACCUAGUGACCGAUAGCGUAUAGUACCGUGAGGGAAAGGUGAAAAGAACCCCGGGAGGGGAGUGAAAUAGAACCUGAAACCCUGCACUUACAAGCUGUGGAAGCACAUUUCUUGUGUGACCGCGUACUUUUUGUAGAACGGGCCAACGAGUUACGUUAAGUAGCAAGGUUAAGCACUUAAGGUGCGGAGCCGUAGCGAAAGCGAGUUUUAACUGAGCGUUCAGUUACUUGACGUAGACCCGAAACCGGGCGACCUACCCAUGAGCAGGAUGAAGCGAAAGUAAAAUUUCGUGGAGGUCCGAACCCACGAGCGUUGAA
rnacentral:rRNA from 1 species